AGGGACGCAGCAACUGCAGCAAGCGCCGCAACAAGCUCCAACAACGACAAAGGAUCAAUGUUAUGAAGAAACUGAACACCCAGACGGGAAGGAAUAUGGCUUCAGCUCUAACUGCUACUGAUAGGCGGCCGGUAACUGAAGCAGACACAGCUGCAGAAACUGCUACCAAGAAGUCAAGGAUAAAGAAAAGAAUGAAGAGAAAGACAAUGGAGGACAAGGAAACAGGAGGAAAACUUGAGUAUUCAGCUGGAACGUUCUAAACAUGUGAUCAGCAUCAGGAAAGGAAAUUGGAGGCAUAAAACACUUAAGUGAAUGUUGUCUGUACUGUGACUCUAUUUCCAAGCUGUGCAG